AUUGAACGCUGGCGGCAUGCUUUACACAUGCAAGUCGAACGGUAACAGGGUGCUUGCACCGCUGACGAGUGGCGAACGGGUGAGUAAUGCGUCGGAACGUGCCGAGUAGUGGGGGAUGACGCAGCGAAAGUUGUGCUAAUACCGCAUACGUACUGAGGUAGAAAGUGGGGGGCCUUCGGGCCUCACGCUAUUCGAGCGGCCGACGUCUGAUUAGCUAGUAGGUGAGGUAAAGGCUCACCUAGGCGACGAUCAGUGGCGGGUCUGAGAGGAUGAUCCGCCACACUGGGACUGAGACACGGCCCAGACUCCUACGGGAGGCAGCAGUGGGGAAUUUUGGACAAUGGGCGAAAGCCUGAUCCAGCUAUGCCGCGUGUCUGAAGAAGGCCUUCGGGUUGUAAAGGACUUUUGUCAGGGAGGAAAUCCCUAGUGCUAAUAACACUGGGGGAUGACAGUACCUGAAGAAUAAGCACCGGCUAACUACGUGCCAGCAGCCGCCGUAA
rnacentral:rRNA from 1 species